rnacentral:lncRNA from 1 species
GGAGUGAGAGUUUUCAAAGAAGGACGAAGAUAGUCGAAAAGCUAGAGUCGAGCUUGGAGGUAGUGCAAAGCGUCGAGCUUCACGAUCGACUAGUCGUUUGACAGCGGUCAUUGAAAUUCUUCACCGACUUUGAUCAUGGUGGCCAAAGUGACGAGCUUAAGGUUGUGCAAAACGUCGAGCUUCAAGACCGACAAGUCAUUUUACAGCAGUCACUGAAGUUCUUUGCUGAUCUUGAUCAUGGUGGCCAGGGUGACGAGCUUGAGGUAAUGCAAAAUGUCGAGCUUCACCACUAGCUAGUUGUUUGACAGGGGUCACUGAAGUUCUUCGUUGAUCUUCAUCUUAGUGGCCAAGGUGACGAGCUUGAGGUAAUGCAAAGCAUCGAGCUUCACGACCGGCUAGUUGUUUGACAACGGUCACUAAAGUUCUUCGCCGAUCUUGAUCUUGGUGACCAGGGUGACGAGCUUAAGGUAGUGCAAAGCGUAUAGCUUCAUGACCGGUUAGUCGUUUGACAGUAGUUACCAAAGCUCUUCGCUGAUUUUGAUCAUGAUGGCCAGAGUGACGAGCUUGAAGUUGUUGGCAGUGGCAAGGAAAAUGAAAGUAUACAUGAGUUGACAAACUUUGGUUUUGUUAAUCACAUUCAGAGUAGCAGUAGAACAGAGGCAAGUAAAUGUGAGGUAACAAACUUUGAUUUUGUUAAUCACAUUCAAAGGUAGCAACAAAGCAGAGGCAAGUAGAUGUGAGUUGACAAACUUUGAUUUUGUUAAUCACAUUCAAAGGUAGCAGCAAAGCAGUAGAAGCACACCAACCUUCGAACCCAAGACCCUCGAACUAAGCGGAGGCAUGAAAGCUAGUGGCACCAGGAUGUGCAUUUGGGCGGCUUUGCCGGUGCUGGCUAGAUGUCACAGAAAUGAACGAGAUCGAGCUAGCGGUCCAGUUUAUCUGUCCGUCGUUGCUCCGAGAAGCUCUUGAAGCAUCUUUGAACUCAGUAGUUGUUGCACUCCCGUUGUCUACUGAAACCCUAAGUGACGAAGUGGGAAGUGGAGCGCGUGGAUAACGUUGUUGAAGACGAGCUAAUUUUCUUCCCGAAGAGCUUAAUCGUAGAGUCUUUAGUUUCCAGCAUUUUCUCAGCAGCCAAACUGUGGGAAAAGAGGUGCCAUAAAACGAUGAACGAGAUUCGUUGCCUAGGACGACGUUCUGUACCCGUAUCUCAUCGUGACUGAGACCUUUGUGUUCAUGGCUAUGCUGAGGGAAGAUGAUUAUUUGCUUCUGUUAGUGGCUGGGAUAAAGGAGGAGGUUGCGGUUGCUGGACUCAUGGAUGACGCUCUUAUUGGGCAGAAAUCUUCAGCGAUUGUUGCAGUGUGUUACUUUUGGUAGGUUCCCCGUUGGUCAUCACUGCGAUAUGAACUUUAGAGAAAUCGGCUCGCCGUUGCCACCACUUGUGGCUGUUAAUCAACGGCUAGGGCUGCAUCAACACUUGUUGUGAUUGGUUGAGCAGUGAAGAGGGAGAUUUCCCAAGCUUUCUUUGUGGGUCUCGUCAAAUAAUCCAAGAGUGAGAGAGCAUAGACGGAGAUGCAGUGGGCGUGACCGUGAGGUGAGGAUGACAGAGCCUAUCCUCCAACGCCGGCGACGAGAAGGCAGAUGAGUACCAUGUUGAAGAUGCUCCAUCUCGGAUCCAUGAAGAUGUUGAUAUUAGGUGCCCAAAAUGUCAUCCCUGUUACGGCUGUGUUCUGAUACUCGGCCACUUCCUGGUCUCCAAAUCCAAAGUAAUGAUAUUGGUGGUGAUGAUGGUACUGGACCCGGCACCGCGUGAGGUGGAGGAAGAAGCAUGAUCCGCCUAAGAUUGCUCGCCCAACUGCUGCUGAUGAUGUUGAUAACGAUGCUUCUGUUUCUUUGGUUUGGCACGGGUCUUAAGUGAAGACCCCA